UACACUCCUGCGGGAGGCAGCAGUGGGGAAUUUUGGACAAUGGGCGAAAGCCUGAUCCAGCAAUGCCGCGUGAGUGAAGAAGGCCUUCGGGUUGUAAAGCUCUUUUGUCAGGGAAGAAACGGUGAAAGCUAAUAUCUUUUGCUAAUGACGGUACCUGAAGAAUAAGCACCGGCUAACUACGUGCCAGCAGCCGCGGUAAUACGUAGGGUGCAAGCGUUAAUCGGAAUUACUGGGCGUAAAGCGUGCGCAGGCGGUUUUGCAAGUCUGAUGUGAAAUCCCCGGGCUCAACCUGGGAAUUGCAUUGGAGACUGCAAGGCUAGAAUCUGGCAGAGGGGGGUAGAAUUCCACGUGUAGCAGUGAAAUGCGUAGAUAUGUGGAGGAACACCGAUGGCGAAGGCAGCCCCCUGGGUCAAGAUUGACGCUCAUGCACGAAAGCGUGGGGAGCAAACAGGAUUAGAAACCCUUGUAGUCCCAUG
rnacentral:rRNA from 1 species